GCCUGGGUGGCUCAGUCGGUUGAGCGUCCGACUUCGGCUCAGGUCAUGAUCUCGCGGUCCGUGGGUUCGAGCCCCUCAUCGGGCU
rnacentral:tRNA from 1 species